rfam:Rabbit coronavirus HKT14 strain HKT14-10, complete genome.
GAUUCUGAGCGAUUUGCGUGCGUGCAUCCGCCUCAGUGAACUCUUGUUAGUUCUAAUUUAAUCUAAACUUUAUAAAAACACCUACUCCCUGUAAUCUAUGCUUGCGAGUGUAGAUCUUUCAUAGUGGUGUCUAGUUUUGUUCCAUUUGUUAACAGCUUUCAGCCGGUGACGUGUUGUAUCCUAGGCAGUGGCCCACCCAUAGGUCAUAAUGCCGAAGAUCAACAAAUACGGUCUCGAGCUGCAAUGGGCUCCAGAAUUUCCGUGGAUGUUUGAGGACACAGAGGAGAAGUUGGACUA